AAUCAACGCUGGCGGCGUGCCUAACACAUGCAAGUCGAACGCGAAAGCCCUUUCGGGGGUAAGUAGAGUGGCGUCCGGGUGAGUAACACGUAGGUAAUCUGCCUUCGGGUGGGGAAUAACCAGUCGAAAGAUUGGCUAAUACCGCAUAAUGCAGCGGCACCUAAUGGUGAUUAGUUGUUAAAGCGGGGGAUCGCAAGACCUCGCGCCUGAAGAGGAGCCUGCGGCAGAUUAGCUAGUUGGUGAGGUAAUGGCUCACCAAGGCUUCGAUCUGUAGCUGGUCUGAGAGGACGGCCAGCCACACUGGCACUGACACACGGGCCAGACUCCUACGGGAGGCAGCAGUGGGGAAUUUUUGGGCAAUGGGCGAAAGCCUGACCCAGCAACGCCGCGUGAGGGAGGAAAUCCUUCGGGAUGUAAACCUCACAAGCAAGGGAAGAGAGCUACGGGCUGAAUAAUCCCGUAGUGCGACGGUACCUUGCGUAAGCCACGGCUAACUACGUGCC
rnacentral:rRNA from 1 species